UGUAACAUUCUCUGUAUUUGAAGGCAGAAUAACAUCAAGAAAAACUGUUGGAAAGGGACUUGUCAGAUACCAAACAAAAAACUCAAGUUAUCAGGAUAAGAAAAAAUUUUAUUUCUAUUUGUUACAAUUUCAAAGUAAAUAGCUCCACAAGGUUAAGAAAAGCAGCAACUUUUAAAUGUGACAAGAGGACUCUGUAUCUGGCAAAUGAAAUGAAAUGUAUCAAACCCAGUUCAGUUUCUGCCUUUAAAAUACCAGAGGUGAAAAACAGAGAAGCUGUGGAUAAUGUGAGCACAGAAAUCACAGCCUGGAUCUCUCUGUUGACCUUCUCACACUGUGGUACCAGUCACACUGGAAUAAACCAAAGUUUCAUCCAUCAGCCUGAUCACAGAGCAAAGGUUACACGGGCUUCAACAGGCACCCAGAACCCAGGCAAUGCCUAGUGUGAGUUUUAUCCCUCUUUCUAUUUUCAAACUUUAAGCAGAGAAACAGCUGAGUUAUUUCUGGACAACUGUACCUUCCACAGGUAUCCUUCUCUUUAACUACAUUGCAGUUCAGAGCAGACAAUAAAUCCUUCAUCUGCUCAGACACAGACCUAUUAAGUAACAUGCUUUUCUGCUCUCCCCCUGUAUUUCUACUUAAUUAGAUUCUGGAACUAAGGAUGCAUCCAUGGCUUUCCCUAAAUAGAGUGUGAUCUUCACAUGGGAUAUUGAAACAACUCAGUUCUGCUGACAUCCCUUAUGUCAGCUGAGAAUCUAGCCUCUGAUUCUUUUUUGUGACGUAAGUGCAAUCAGUGCCAUUAAUAUCUUGCCAGAAGGCAUUAAACCUUCUUUUACAGUUUAUUGAUUUUGUAAUUUUUUUCAAUUGUCUUUGCUGCUGAUUGGAAGAGGAUAUUUGCAUCACUGAUUUCAAUAAGGCUUAAAGGAAUAAGGAUGCAACAAAACAGGCUCACAUGUGGACAUGCUUCUGAAUUCAUAGUAUAUUUUUUGGUUCAUCUCAGCUAGAUUUGGGAGGGUGAAUUGGUCUGUAAUUUGGGGUAAUUCUGUGAGCCAUUUUGUGCCAUGCCUAAUUUUACCAUCAGAUAGGAUUGUUCUAUAUAAAGGUAGAAAGCCUCACACUCUUCUCCACUCAUUUAACAGGCAAAAGUAAGAAACUGGGAGAAAAAAAUCCAAGUGAUUAAAAAAAAAAAAAAAAAAAAAACAGGUUAUUAUUCAAUAAACAAGCUAAGAGAUGAACAUUAACUAAGCACAAGUAUUGUAGACCAACAAAAAUAUGCUGAGAAAAAAAUAGUUGGUUUAUGGAGAGAGUUGUAUUCUGUGUUGUUCUGCAGCUCCCUGGCCUUAAUUCUUCCCUUUUUUCUUCCUGCCUCCAAUCUGACUUUCCCUCUGUAAAGGGUGGAUAAACCCCGUGUUGCUUCUUUCGUUUUUUCUCUGCUUUUCCUUUUCUUCCAUCAAAACUGAAUAUACAGCUCGAUUUAUCUUUAUUACGUGGUCAGUUUUCAAGUGUAAGCACUUUUUUAAUGCCUGCUUUGUAUCCGUACAGAGGUGUUUUCAGUCUGAAACAAAUGAGGUUGCACUUGCAUUUCAUGGCUAUAGUGUGAAGGAGGAAACAGAAGGUGACAACUCCUAAGAGCAAGAUGGGAAAUCCUGCAGGCUUUCACAGAAUCUUUUGCCCCCAGAAGAGGUGAAAUAGGUGAAUUUACUUGGUAUGAAAACAAGGUCCUGAGCACGUGUAUUUCCCUCCUCACAUCCUACAGCACCCACACUUAGAAAAUAUGGGAUACAUUUGUAAUGAAGAGAUGAAUAAUGCACCUACUAAAGAGGUCACCAGUUUCAAUCAGUUUGAGCUCUGGGUCUCCCAAAUUUCAUCCAUGACAUGCAGACUGCUAACCAGAAUCAGGAAAUAUUUUUUCCCUAUUGUGGACUACACCCAGUAAUAUCAAGCAUAAACCACUGGGUCACUGGGUACCUUGUUAGAGUACUAGGGAAAUCAACGUGUU